ACACCUCAAAAGUGGUCGUGAAGUUCAUUGGCUGGGAUGCCGUCCGUGGUGCCACUGCGCGCUUCUGUCGCCGCUCGAGCACGCGAGAGCAGACCUGUGGCGAUGGCCUGGACGACGACUGCGACUUUCUGCCGGACGAGCUGGACCCAGAUUGUGCCGGCAGGCCUGUUACCGGCAACAGAGAGAGGCCGCCACGGCCUCCACCCCAACGGAGCUACAGACCACCAACGCCGAGGCCGUCACCACCGCGGCCUGGGGGUUUACAAACAGGGUAAACAGGAUAACGGUUGCUUUCUGCGACUCAGCGAAGCAGCAGUGGUGCAUUUCUUAGGGUUCCCGGUAAUGGCGAUAGAGACACAAUCUGGACCGCUAACUUGCAGGUCCUCAGUGGUAACAUUCAUCUGCAUGUGUUGCUCAUAGCACUGUAGCCUGGGUACCUGCAAACAUGCGAGAGAUGUUGGCAUGUCCUCGGGGAGGAUGUGUCUGAGAGCGCUAGUGUGCUAGUCCAGUCCGCCAGUCCAGUACACACACACACACACACACACACACACGCGCGCGCGUGCGUAGACAUGGAGAGCGCUGGGAGUGUAGUCCUUUGUUCUGCAGUGAACAAAUGCAGUGUUCCAAAUUGUUGGCGGCUUGUAGUAUAGUUGUUGUUGGCAAGUGGCAUUAGCUAAUAGGCGCGGGUUGCUUGUUGGUUGGCAUGUAGCGCUCGUUUACAGCUUUGCCUCCCUGCAUCCAGUGCAGCCUUAGGCCUUAGUUGGUGGAAAGCCAGUACAGGAGUCUGUGAAGAUGCCAGGCAAGGCAGAGACUUGUGAUCUGCAGCCUCUGCAGUCUCUGGGUAGCGACCACGGCUACAUACGGAUGGCUAUGGUGGCUAAGUUCACUUAUUCACUGCUGCUGCGUCAACUGCCCGAUGCAGCGUCCCUACCUAACGAGGUAGCUUCCAGACAGCCAUUCCGCCGAGGACUGAUAGGUUUGGCGGAGUGUCUUAUCUGCACCUCUUCGGCUAUACAUUUGAUGGGCGGGGGUGCGUGCAAGGCCGACGUACAUGCAGAGUAGUUGCAGGCUCGCGGAGAAUUGUGCCAGUAGUGUGCGGUGUUGUAGUAAAUAACAUUUCAACGACAUAAUUAACUAGGCCAUAACAGCGCAUACCGCAUGUGUUUUAUAAGGGCCUUAGGCAGCUUUACAGGUUAGGCAGUCAGUCAUCCGUCAACCGGGCUGACUUCCGGAAAGUUAGUUCAUUCAGAGUUCAUCCAUCCCGCAGGCGCCGUGGGGGCCUGAGAUGUUAAGCAUGUAUGUGUAACAGUUUUUUAUGGUCACCUCAAUCUCUGAUUCCGACGGCAUGCAACCGUGGAGCUAGAGGCAUGCUCCUUCCAAUCAUAGUGCCAAGUACGGCCCCUUGCAGCAGAGCGCGCGCGUACGUUAAUUAUCGAUCUGUUAGAAGACAGCUGACGUAUCGCCAGCACCGCGAACGGUGCACAGGUGUCCUUGACCUUAGGUGCAGGAUGGGAAAGUGGAUAGUGGAAGCAGGUUUAUGUUGGGAAUGUUAGCAGUGGCGGCAAGGAUAGUAAGCAUUUGCUUCUGCAGGUACAGCAUUACGGGUGCAUGAGGCUACUUGCAAGCUGUAUGUAUGUAUGUAUGUAUGUAUGUAUGUAUGUAUGUAUGUAUGCAUGCAUUAUGUUGCCCGAAAUUGUGCAAGGCCAGGGAAACGUUGGCCCCCCUGCUUGCUUUGUUACCUAUCUUCGCUGCCCGGACCCAGCUUUCCGGAGUUAUCUGGAACAAAGCCAAGCCGCCACGUACUGUGUGGACGCGCAGAGGCAGGCGGUGGAAGCAUGAAGCGCGUGCGGGGGGGAUUGCAACACGUCCCUCACGGCUCGGGCUGUCUGCAUGAUCAAAUCUGGUCACGAGCGUUAAAUACCACCUCCUGGUUAUUAUAGCUUCCGAGGGCUCGUCAUUAGUUGGAGAGAUGGAUGGACAGAUGGAUGGAUUACUUGUUUCGUUGGAAGUGCGAGGUAGGAUGGUGCUUAUAGGCGAAUUGGCAGCCCUUGAGCUCUCGGCUCGUAUUAGGGUGGUUUGCAGGUACAGGGAACGCACCCACGGCAGCCACCAUCCGCAUUUCAGAUCUGCUGCAACAGGAUGAUAGAUAAGCAGCAAAUACAAGAAAUCCGUCACCACUUCCUGACAGCUUUCCUUACACUGCACUUCUCGGCUGGGUCCAGUCAGUGCUGGCAGGCAGGUUGGCUUCCAUGCAAGCCGUCUUUAGAGCUCUCCUCGCGUAAACUCGUACUUAAUGAUCGCCAGGCAAGAGAGCUGAAUGAUUUAUGAAUGAUGGAAUGCCUAUGGACUCAUUAUCAAUGGCUGACAUAGCCAGAAGCAGAGAUGAAUUGGCUUGGGGGAAGAUGCCCUAUCGUGUUCCCGUUUUCCGUCUGGGCUCCUUAGAUACUUAUUAGGUUGUGUGGGAUGAUUUUUGCAUAUGUUAGCAGGUGCGGGCCCUAGCAAAUUAUUUUAGGAUAAGUCGCAGCGUUUCCUUUUGGCGGGCUUUGCAGCAACUCCAUGUAUCAACGCGCAACACCUUUGUCGCUGGAGAAGCGUCUUCCUGUGCGGUGUAAUAUCUAACAAGCAGAUGUCGAAGUUUUACUGCAUUGCUACGACUGCAAACGCAUUCGAUGCAAUUUGUACUGCUACAGCACGUCCAGGAGCAACGCCCCUUGCAGUCGUUCUGCAGUUACGUAUUACUAGGAAAAAAAUAAACUUAUAUAAGAGCGCAUUUGGGAACCGAAAAAUUGCCCUGCUGCUUGCCAGUGUACGUUGCGAUGAGAAGGAUACUGCCAACGAAAAGGACUCGCGGCCUGAAUCGAUCUUGUUGCAUCACUUCGUUCAAGCCUGUUGCUAGCAUAAUACUGCAUGGCCUCGUCGUUUGGGCCUGCUGCGACGCCAGGCAAACACCUCGAGUCCAACCAUAAGGGCAAAUUCCCUUCCUCUACAAAAAACUACGGGCGCCAAGGACCAUUGAGCUUUGUCGCCAGCGCUAAGCUUUGUGCACGAGUCCUCUGACGUAAUAGUCUUUAAAUUGCACAGUUUUGCAUUUUACAUGUAUACUGAAGACCAAUACACUGUGUGGCCUUCAUUACUAGCAUAUAGUGCCAGAUGCUACCAAAUUUGCAACUAUGUUUUUAAUUGGCUGUAGUACCGCCUCAGGGGAAGCUACGCUGUGGCAUACAAGAUGUAGCUUAAAGUUUGUUGUGAAGCUGAAAAAUCCGGAUCCGGCAAUGAUUACAAAAAGCUGACACACCCACAAAGCAAAUAUUGAUCACAAUACAUCCUUAACGAUCGAUUCGCUUCGACGUUAUCUUGGCAGGUUUGGGGAGUCCAGCGAUAGGUAGUUUGCACCUAACACUCAAAAAGCUGCCGCCUGCUGGUAUAGAGAAACUCUCCCGCACGGAGCUCGAGGAUUUUAAUCUAUUCGCUGAGUAUAUCUGCGGUCCUGGAAAAGGUCAGUGGUCGGUGUUGAACAAGACAAUCACCUGUCGCCUGACAGUUAUUUUAACCUUGCAAAAAAGUCACCGGUGCCUACAAAUGCCCAGCAGGUUCUUUCUAUGCCCUUACACCGGUCUUGAUACGCGCGUGGUCGCAGCGACCGCGGCCAACUUGAGGGACAAUCAUGAGAACAUCAGCAAUAUUCACCCUUCGGGCGUCAGUCCUCAUACUUACCUGCAUUAGCCACCUUGGUCUUAUAUCCCAGGCGACAUUUGAUGAAUCUAGCGGGACAGCGAAGGGUAAGCUCUGCUUCCAAAUGGAGACCGAAUUCCCCAAAGGCGUCGGCCAGCGCCAAUAAAUCGAGAAGCUUUAAACUCACGCCUGUGACUACAGGAAGCUUACUGAUGCUCAUGUCGUCUAUUCAUGGCGGCCAAGACGCUUCGAAGUAUUACCUGCGACAAGAUGACGGACAAAUGUACAGCCUCUCCUUCUGCAGCGAGUUGGGUUCGCUCGGCCUGGCAUCCAAUCUUCGGGUUCAGGUGAAUUACAACCGCAUUGAGGAUGGCGUCAUGUACUCGUGCCAAAUUCCCGUUCCGCUGGAUGACGACUCGCCGUCGUCGACGCCGGUAUCGGCGUCGAAGCGGCGCGAGCUGUUUGGACCCACCAUCUCCACGCCCAAACGCCCCACCUUCCUCAUAUACAUCGUCACACUCUGCGGUUUCAGUCAACCGGCGGUGGCUACUGCCUCGGUGAGUGUCAUGCGGCGUCCUCCUGUGCCUUCUAUCCUCUAAAGCCCUAGCAUCAUUACGCUCGUGAACUUAACGCUUGCUAUCUCCGGUGCCACGUCAGUAGAUCGUAAUCCUGUUAGCUACAUGUCACAGCUGAUGUAACCAGAGUUUUAGAUCUUGUUGCCAUUGCCCCGCAAUCGCACGAAUCGCUACGGUGCAUGUAUGCCUCGCGACUGCUUUAAAUGGGAGGUCUGUUCGGGCUGGUUGUAUGCUUGUAAGCGACCCACUCUCCAUUCCUCGUCCCCAUCUCACUUUAUAAACCCCUGCCACCUAACUCUUCCGUUAGCGCGUACCUUAUGCAGCUAUAACCCAUCCGUUUUCCUUCCAUCCGCAGAGAAUGCGGGAUUUCUUCUUCAGAAACAACUCGAUUUCUCUUUCGGGUUAUUACGACACAUGUUCGUACGGACAGAUCUCCGUGCUACCGGAGCAAGUGGAGAUUGUUACCGGGCUGGAAAUUCCUUGCAAUGGCACGUUGGACCUACCGUUCCGCUUCCCGACCGGCAAUAAGUUCGACACACGGAACUGUGAGAACGACAACUUGGUCAAGUGGCAGUACUACCUGGAUGACGUCGUAUCGGACAUGGGCAUCACCCCGACGGAUUUCCACCACAAGGUCAUUUACUUGCCCCCAACCUUCGUCGGAUAUAGUGAGUCCAGGCCGUGUGGCUUUGGGGAAUCUUUGCGCUUCAGGUUUACAGCUCAUACAGCUUUCUCCGCCAUUUCGCUUAACAUGGCGCUGCUCGUGCCGCUGCUCCUUGAGGCUGCUCCUUGAGCGCCAUCGUGAUAUGCUGGCGGCCUCCCGCUGGCCCGCCAGCAUAUGCCGCCCCUGGCCCAAAUCCUGGCACUCCGCGGUCACGUUAUGUUGGGCUACACGCUGUGUGGGUAAAUUACUUACACCGGAUAUAUUGGUGCCACUCUCCACCUCCUUGCAGGAUGCAACAACUUCGCAGGCACAGCCUCCGUGGGCCCCUGGAUUAAAACUGACAGCAAAAUCAAUGAUUACGGCACGGGUCUCAUAUGGAUGGCCGGGGACGUGUUCCCGAACAUCGAGUACUUCUUUCACGAGGUUGGUCACACCCUGUCUAUGGCACACGCCACCAUCCCCAACGGCUGUGAUUUGAGAGACCAGUGCGACCACACCUGCCCCAUGGGGGCCACGGGCGGCCAAGGCAUCCGCUGCCUCAACGCGCCGCACAUGUGGCAGGUGCGUAUUCGUCAUGGUGGUACGAACGUCGGGUUGCCGUACAUGAGGCAGGACGGCACGAUUCACGGUUUUUACGAUGCUUAGGCAGGCGUGACGGAAUCAGCGAAUUGAAUGGCUGCGUUCAUGGCUGAGCCGCCCAGGCAAGGGCCUUUUACUUAUAAAUGACGCUUGCUAGCACGAGUGCAUCGUGCAUCACUAAAUCUGUGAGGGAGAAGCCCUCCCUCACCAUUAACCGUUCCGCAUGCGCAUCUUCGUUUUUUGGUCUCGCGCGUUAGUUGACUACCGGUAUUGUGUACGGUGUGCAGUUGAGGAAUAGGUUUUACUCGGUUCCAUUGCUUAAAGCUUGCCGCAACGGUUGCCGUAGAUCACCCCAGUCCCCCCUCGUCUUUUGCCUACGCACUAGCCGGGCCGAAACACCAGCUCACGGUCUUUUCCUUGGGGUCUGGGGCUCGAUGUUACUUUACCUGCUACUACUACUAACAGCCCAAGCCUGCCGUGAGCCCUGAAGUCAUGCCUCUUAACUUUGGUAUCGCCCCGCCUGUUUGUUAUGCAGCUUGGCUGGAGUCAACCCAUGCGGCGCCUCACUGAGUCAGAUCUGCCGUACGGUGCCAGCCGAGAAAUCUUGAUCCCGAGGCAAAUGUCCACCAAGGACAGCUAUGUGGUCGUGUCGGGAGUCAGGGGCCUGGUGCCAACUGACGCCAUGUACUUCGCCGUCCGCAUGAAUGAGUACCCGUACGAAUUGCCAUUUGAGGUGAACAACAACAAGCCGUACAUCGUAGUGCAUUCGUACAACGGCACAUCGAUGGCGCCAUACGUGCAAACGGUGCUUCUGGGGGAGAUAUCCGUGAAUAACAGAUUUGUUCAUAACAGCUCAAACGUGGUCGUGAAGUUCACUGGCUGGGAUGCCGUCCGUGGUGCCACUGCGCGCUUCUGUCGCCGCUCGAGCACGCGAGAGCAGACCUGUGGCGAUGGCCUGGAUGACGACUGCGACUUCCUGCCGGACGAGCUGGACCCGGACUGUGUCGGCAGGAUGCCCGUUACCGGCAACAACGACGAAGACCCUCAAGGCACCGGUGAGAGGCCGCCGCCGCCUCCACCCCAACGGAGCUACAGACCACGGACGCUGACGUUGUCACCACCGCCGCCUCCGCCGGUACGCAGCCCGCCACCACCGCUGGCACGCAGCCCGCCACCGCCGCCAGCCCCAAGUCCGCCGC
rnacentral:lncRNA from 1 species